CCGGAAGCCCAAGCCGGUAUCCGGCACAAAGGAGAUGCCAAGAAUAAGCUCAGCUCUUACCCAGAGCCCUCUAGAGCUCACUACCACGCCGGGAUAAAUGUGACUUCAGGACGUCCAGGAGCAAUCACCCUGCUUCCAAAUGUCCCCAGUGGGGCUUCCAGUCCCCGACCAGACAUUUGGUGUGGUCUCAGCUCCCACCGGAGGCUCUUUGGAGCAUUUCGUGGUCUCCCACCAGCAUCGUGGCAAGCUGAUUUAUGUCAUCCCACAUUUGCAGGAUGCUGAAGAUGCUCCCAUCCAGGAGCCAACCCCAAAUAGCGUUGGCAUCACGGGGUGCUAGGCUUGGUGGCCAUCCCUGCAGGAAUGCUCUUGAACCAAGAGGGUGGGGAAAAGCUCUGAGUUUAUUUUUUUAUUUUUUUCUCCUUCCCUCUUUUUCUUUCUUCUUUUCCCUGGGCUUAAAACGAGGGAGAAGAGGCAGGGCGUCGUGGCGAGAGGUGUUAUUCAAUUCGCGCAAGAAGACCUGCGGGGCACGAGGGAAGGAAACCUCACUCCACCUCGUCUCAUGACUUUGCCCACGGCAGCCCGCAGCUCCGAGGUGCCGAUGAAGGACCCGCGGCGCUGCUUCCUCCAGCGGUCUGCCUCGCUCACCAGCCCCUUGCAGAGGUUGCCCAUGGAGGAUUUCAUCAACCUCUUCGCCCUGACCGACAUGCGCCUGCCUACCGGUGGCAUGUGGCUGGCCAGCCUGGAGAUGCCCCUCUUGCUGGAUUUCUUCUUCGACUGGGAAUUGAAUCCCUUUGGAACUGGUUUCCAGCGCCUCGACCUUCUCUGGUUAAGGGGAGGCUUUGUCUGCUGGGUUUUCUGCUUCCUCCUCCUCCUCCUGUUUCUUGGAGGCUGCCCUCGUUUCUUGGUGGCCGCGGCCAUGGGGUCUCCUUCGGCCUCGGUGGUCCUCGCUGUGGGGGUGUCCCAGAGCUUUUUUAGGGGUGGGCAUAGGCAAAUGAGGGCUCGACACCGCAGCCCGGGGUUGGCUGGGUGAGACAGGGCUCCUGUGACAUUAUGCGUAAUUUGCAUAAAGAUCUGAGCCAGAAAAACCCACAAUUAGGGCAAAGAAAAAUACAGAAAUAUAUAAAAACACACACAUAUAUCUAAAAUACAUAUAAUAUAUAUGCAUUUACAUGGCUUAAUCUCAAGACAAGCCCCCAAAACCCUCCCCCCCAGACCCACUUGCUUUUUUUUGAAGAUUAAUUCUUGAGGAUGAGGAGGGGAGGAAGGCCUCAGCCAGUGUCAGGAUGGCCGAGUGGUCUAAGGCGCCAGACUCAAGGCUCUGCUUUCCCUUCCCUGGGGUUUUCUGGUCUCCGAAUGGAGGCGUGGGUUCAAAUCCCACUUCUGACACAUCUUUUCCUUUGCAAUCUUAAUAAUUUUCGAUAGCUCCUGCACGGGAUUUGGGGGAAAAAGCCGAUUUUCCUUUUUUUUUUUUUUUUUUUUUUCCGGCGCUAAAACUUGCUCCUG